rnacentral:rRNA from 1 species
GACGAACGCUGGCGGCGUGCUUAACACAUGCAAGUCGAGCGAGAAACCUUCGGGUUUCUAGCGGCGGACGGGUGAGUAACACGUGGGUAACCUGCCUCAAAGAGGGGGAUAGCCUUCCGAAAGGAAGAUUAAUACCGCAUAAUAUUACAGUUUCGAAUGAAGCAGUAAUUAAAGGAGUAAUCCGCUUUGAGAUGGACCCGCGGCGCACUAGCUAGUUGGAGAGGUAACGGCUCACCAAGGCAACGAGGAGUAGCCGACCUGAGAAGGUGAUCGGCCACAUUGGAACUGAGCCACGUGCCAGACUCCUACGGGAGGCAGCAGGGGGGAAUAUUGCACAAUGGGCGAAAGCCUGAUGCAGCAACGCCGCGUGAGUGAUGAAGGUCUUCGGAUUGUAAAGCUCUGUCUUUUGGGACGAUAAUGACGGUACCAAAGGAGGAAGCCACGGCUAACUACGUGCCAGCCGCCGCGGUAA